rnacentral:rRNA from 1 species
ACCUAGCGGCGGACGGGUGAGUAAUGCUUAGGAAUCUGCCUAUUAGUGGGGGACAACGUUUCGAAAGGAACGCUAAUACCGCAUACGUCCUACGGGAGAAAGCAGGGGACCUUCGGGCCUUGCGCUAUCAGAUGAGCCUAGGUCGGAUUAGCUAGUUGGUGAGGUAAUGGCUCACCAAGGCGACGAUCCGUAACUGGUCUGAGAGGAUGAUCAGUCACACUGGAACUGAGACACGGUCC